UGGAAUAUAGCUCAAUGGUGGAGCAAUCGGCUGUUAACCGAGAGGCUGUGGGUUCGAGCCCCACUUUUCCAGCCA
rnacentral:tRNA from 1 species